rnacentral:lncRNA from 1 species
UUUUUUUUUUUUUUGUCUUCUAGGGCCACCCCCAUGGCACAUGGAAGUUCCCAGGCGAGGGGUCAAAUUGGAGCUUCAGCUGCCGGCCUACACCACAGCCACAGCAUGCCAGAUCUGAGCCACAUCACCGACCUACACCACAGCUCAGGGCAACACUGGAUCCUCAACCCACUGAGCGAGGCCAGGGAUCGAACCUGUGUCCUCAUGGAUACUAGUAAGAUUUGUUUCCUCUACACCACUAUGGGAACUCCAAUAUGUAUAUUCUUAGUAAAUUUUAAUUUUCAGUUUAAGUUAUCGCUGGAGCGAUUAAUCUUUACACCUGUGAAGUUGGCAUUAUUUUCCCCAUUUUAUAGGGAAACCCAAGCUUAGAAGGUGUACAAAUUUGUCUCCUUAUAUAUGAGCAAACAGACAAGGGCCACCAGACAUUUAGGAAAAGCUUCCAAAUGAGCAAGAAGCAGAAAAUAAACAAGGGAAAAUAAUGGGAAGAAACAAAGACUGUAGGGGGAAACAAUUUAAAUAAUCACUAACCUAAGUGUUCAUCAACAGAUGAAUGGAUAAAGACACCGUGAAAUUACGGGGGGUGUGUGUGUGUAUACUACUACACACACGGAAUACUACUCAGUCAUGAAAAAGAGUGAAAUUUUCCUAUGUGCAGCAACAUGGAUGGACUUGGAAGGCAUUACACUAAGUGAGAUAAGUCAGACAGAGAAAGAUAAACACCAUAUGAUAUCAUUUAUAUGUGGAAUCUACAAAUUACAACAGACUAGUAAAUAUAGCAGAAAAGAAGCAGACUUACAGAUACAGAGAACUAGUGGUUAGCAUAGGGGGGCAUAUUGGGGUGGGGGAGUGGGAAGUACAAACUACUAAGUAUCAGACAGGCUGCAAGGAUGUUUGGUACAGCAUGAACACCGAUCUAACCAAACCGUGUACAACUAUAUUGGGAGUGCUGGAGGUGGGGGUGAAAGAGAAAAAUCCUUAUCUUCCACGUGGGUAACAAAUGCAUCAGACUUAAAACUGAAACAUCAAAACAGCUAUGAUUUGCAUUUUAGUUAGAGACACAGAAGUAAAUACCAAGAGAAUCAACUGAAAGAGGGGAGGGUAGUUACCUCCAGGGAAUUGGAAAACUAGGAGGCAUAAUAGGGACUGCUGAUUUUCAUAACAAACUAUAGAAACGAUUUGACUCAACAGUCUGCAUGCGGAUAACAGAAAAAUACUUAAAAAAAAUUUUAAAUGUGGAGUUCCCGUUGUGGCUCCGUGGUUAGCAAAUCUGACUAGGAACCAUGAGGGAGCUGCUCAGAGGAGUCUUAACUGACCCUUAGAUGAGGUUACAUUCCCAGUUUCAUUUUUUCACCAUACUUGGCUUCUCUUAUGGCACUUACAACAAAUGCAACUCGUGAUUUGGGUAAAUCACUUGAUCUAUCUCUUCCUUUACCUGUGUUUCUGAAUAUAAUAGCCACUAGCUACACGGAGCUGUGUAAAUUUAUUUUAUGGAUUUAUUUAUUGGGGGGAGUAAAGGAGCAAAGGAUAGCUUUAUGGCUUUGCCAGUCAAAGGAGGACACAAGCAGUUAAUGCCUUCAAAAGCUAGGUGCCCCCAGGUAUGUAAAUUUAAAUUAACAUUAAAGAAUAGGAACUAUUUAACCACACUAGCCUCACUUCAAGGGAUCCAUAGCUGUCACUACCACACUGAGAAGGGCACACACAGAACCUUCCAUCUUCACAGACAGUGAGUCCCAUGCGACAGCUCUAGACGGUCAACUCCACAAGGGUCCUUCACAGAGGUAACCCCAGGGCUUAAGGCUGUCUUGCACUUUGUCAGGGCUCCCUAACUGACCUGCAUAAAUUCAUUCAUUCUUUAGGGUAAAACGUAAGGACACUCUGCUGACCGGGAGGAUGUCACUAUUUGGUUUGCCUUGUCUUGAGCCCUUCAAUAACAUCCAGUUCUAUGUCAUCCCCACAGUAGAACCUGCCCCACUGAAAACUUAGGGAACAAAAUAAAUACUUCUGGCUUCGUCUGAGGCAUCAACGUGGAGUUAAGUGACUCAUAAAGGCAAAAGGGUUACAUUUCAUCCAGAAUUAGAUUCUCCAUCUGUCUUAUGAGCCAAUCACUAGAAUUAACCUGUAGGACAUGUAUUUUCAGAGUCAUGUGGCUUCAAACCACCCUAUGGUGUCCCAUGACGGUGGCAAGCUAAGUCAGUCUGGGCAUUGUAGAGUAUAAAUCCCAGUUUAGGUGCUGUAUUCAGCAUUACACACAAAGAAAGAGAUUAAAUAGAUGUACUUUUCUUUUAAGAGGAUUAUGACUAGGCUUUCAAAGAGGCACAAGCACCUCAUGAAUGGUUAAUGUGUUCAUUGGGUUUGAACAGAUUCAACAACCCAGGGACACAUUCAGAUGUAUUUAUUUAACCUCUCCAGAGAUUUUAAAAAUAAAAUUGGGUCUUUCUGGAGAACAGUCAAUCACUAUCUCCCUCCUCCCAACACACUGGCCAUGGGAGGGCUGCCUUCCCAGCAUCCCUGCCCACUCCAAAACACGGGACCUGCCUUUGGGGGCCCCCUCCCACCCACACAGCUUCUCUAUUUCAAGCCCUGAUUCAAGGAGGUCCCUGGCAACAAAGAACGUAUUCCUGAGGCCAGAAAAAAAAGCAGUCUGGGAAAGCAGGGCUCUCUCGUCAAUGAUGAAUAUUUAGUUUCUGCCUCCUUUUUUAUCUUGCUCCUUCCCCGCUUGUUCUCCCACUCUCUGGAACAAAAACAACCACAGGGUAGCCCGGCAGUGUUUCGGGAACAGAGACUGGCAGAAACACGUGCUUCUGUGGUUAAAGCACAAGUGGAUUCUAAGUGGAUGCAAGUGGAUUCUAAGAAUCAAGCAUAAGCUGAGCGGCAGAGGUUUAAAUUCGGGGUCCCUAAAGGAACCUGUGCAAAGAUGACCCCCUGUCCCAAGACAGAUGGGCAUCCUAUACCCACAAGGUAUGUCGUUUCAGGGAAAAGCCAACAAUGGAGGCCCUACUCAGAGGACAGUGACAGCUGAAUUUGUAUAACCUGGAAGAGGGAAGGACCCUGGGAGGAGCACAGGGGGGCACAGUCACAGUCAAAAUGAACCAUGGCUGGCAUUUCCUAAGCACUACUGAGAGCUGAGUCCUAGCCAUUUUAGACCACUCCAUCUGUUCCACAACCCCGGGGGGGGGGGUUGUAUUAUUUUUUAAAAAGGUGGCAUAAAGAAAGUAAGUGCUGUGUGGCCUCGACUGCAAAGUGGGUGUAAUCUGACCUCACAGGGUUAAGAGCAAUAUUCAGUGAGUUUUGUUAAGUGGAUAUGAGAUCAGUUGGGACCUGGGACCCUUUGCUAAAAUGCUCGCAUUCAGAUAAACACCUCCCCAAGCAACAAUAUAAAGAAAGUAUAAGGGACUAAAAAUAACUGCUGUUGGGGAAAAUUAGGAACAACAAGAUACAAAAAGACCAAAAAUCCAAUUGCCACUUCUUCUUUGUGUGUGUGUGUG